ACUGGUGAGUAACACGUAGGCAACGUACCCUUCGGACGGGGAUAGCCGGCAGAAAUGUCGGGUAAUACCGGAUGUGAACAUGAGCCGUAAAGGUUCAUGUGGAAAGGAGCUUCGGCUCCGCCGGAGGAGCGGCCUGCGGCCCAUCAGCUUGUUGGCGGGGUAAAGGCCCACCAAGGCGAUGACGGGUAUCCGGCCUGAGAGGGUGAACGGGCACAUUGGGACUGAGAUACGGCCCAGACUCCUACGGGAGGCAGCAGCUAAGAAUAUUCCGCAAUGGGGGAAACCCUGACGGAGCGACGCCGCGUGGACGAUGAAGGCCGGAAGGUUGUAAAGUCCUUUAGUCUGUGAGGAAUAAGGAGCGGAGGGAAUGCCGUUCCGGUGACUGUAGCAGGAGAAUAAGCACCGGCUAAUUACGUGCCAGCAGCCGCGGUAACACGUAAGGUGCGAGCGUUGUUCGGAAUCAUUGGGCGUAAAGGGCAUGUAGGCGGAACUGCAAGUCUGGUGUGAAAUGCCGUGGCUUAACCACGGAACUGCGCCGGAAACUGUAGAACUAGAAUCGCCGCGGGGGAGCCGGAAUUCCAGGUGUAGGGGUGAAAUCUGUAGAUAUCUGGAAGAACACCGAUAGCGAAGGCAGGCUUCCAGCGGACGAUUGACGCUGAGGUGCGAAGGUGCGGGGAGCAAACAGGAUUAGAUACCCUGGUAGUCCGCACAGUAAACUAUGUACACUGGGUGUCCGGUCAUGAGACUGGGCGCCGAAGCAAACGCGAUAAGUGUACCGCCUGGGGAGUAUGCCCGCAAGGGUGAAACUCAAAUGAAUUGACGG
rnacentral:rRNA from 1 species